rnacentral:rRNA from 1 species
UCGAGGAUCUUCGGCAAUGGGCGCAAGCCUGACCGAGCGACGCCGCGUGCGAGAUGAAGGCCUUCGGGUUGUAAAUCGCUGUCAGUGGGGAGGAAAUGCCGGUGGGUUCUCCCAUCGGUUUGACCUAUCCGCAGAGGAAGGACGGGCUAAGUUCGUGCCAGCAGCCGCGGUAAUACGAACCGUCCAAACGGUAUUCGGAAUCACUGGGCUUAAAGGGUGCGUAGGCUGCCCGGUAAGUUGGGUGUGAAAGCCCUCGGCUUAACCGAGGAAUUGCGCCCAAAACUGUCGGGCUCGAGGAAGAUAGAGGUGAGCGGAACUAAGGGUGGAGCGGUGAAAUGCGUUGAUAUCCUUAGGAACACCAGUAGCGAAAGCGGCUCACUGGGUCUUCUCUGACGCUGAGGCACGAAAGCUAGGGGAGCGAACG